rnacentral:lncRNA from 1 species
GCUUGACUUAUAUAGGUGUGAAUGAUGGAUAUAUAUGAUGGCAACAUUUGAAACUUUCAGCCAGAUGUGGUUGAGUUGCUGUAACAAUAAGGGGUUAGAUAUUGCAAAUAUAUAUUCACAUAAAUCUAAUUUAUAAUUAAACAAUAAUUAUAAAUAAUGAACAUGAUGAACAUGAAACCAAUUACUAUGAACAACUUUGGUUACCACUCAUGAUUGAAGGAGAAAUAGAAUUUGUGAAAGCGAAUCGAGUGUUUUGGAACACUUAGAACCUUAGAAUGAAUAACACAAAUAUUGUUUUAUGCUAUCAACUCGGAUGUAGGACCUGAGGAAAGUGUUGAAGUCAAGUCGUGUGUCACACACACUUUCUUUAAGACAAAUUAUGCCUCAUCUACCAGUGCAAAAGGCUUGAUGACACUUGUCUUCCAGAAUACAACGACUGCUUGUGCUUUGGAGCUGCACUGCUGCCAAGAACACCCGAUAAACUUGUAGCACCUUCUAUAUAUCACCAGAACAACUACAACUAGAGAAAAGAUGACUCUUUGAGAGGAGGAGAUGACUAUCGAGUUUGUGUUUCGAAUGUCUGUUUAGAACAAAGGAAGUGUCACCUAUUUAUACAUAGAGGAAUGUGAUCAUCACUUGAAUGUCAUGAAUCCAUAUUCAUGAGUUAUAACCUUUCACAUGUCAACCCUUGACAUUCUUUGAUAUGUUACAACAUUUAACAUGUCAACCCUUAUCAUUCUUUAGUUACAAAAUUCAACAAUCAUUAAACUUGUUGUUACAGAAUCCAAAGGGUUAUGUAGUUGUAAAAAAUUCCAAAAUUCUAAAGGUCAGAAAAAGGUGAAAAAUCCAAAAACGUUUCAAAUAACCAUCUUUGAGUGACUAUUUCUUAUUCAUCUUAUAACCCAUUUAAAUUAUCCAAUUUAAAUUGGUUAAAUAAAAUGGUGAUUUUCACCAUUUUUCCAACAGCUGCCACAUGCCAUAUAUGUUAUAUCUAGUUCUAAAGUCUUUGGUAGCUUAAUUGAUGAUCGAGGCUCUUUGUGGUGCUAAACAGUAGAGGCCAUGGUAGCGACUGACUGCGAUAUGCCGAUAUUUGAUCAAUAAUAGACAAAUAUUGGUGAUGUAGAAGAAAAAAAAAAAAAGUCUAUCUGAUAUGAACCAAGGCCACGGCCGUACGUGCAGCUAGACUUGCUACCAAGCUUGGUUAAUAUGUGUGUGCGUUUGCUCUAGGAUGUUUUGCCCUUUACUCUUUUUAGCUUUCAUUUGCUACAUAUCUGACCAAUACAUCGAUCUCAAGCAAAUCCUAAAUGAAACUAUAGAAAGGUAUAUGACCAAAGAAAAUAAGAUACAAGAUCGAGAUCGAGGACGUAGUACUAAAGAAAUAUGUUGAUGGUAAACUGGAAACGCUAAACCAAGAAAAAUUAUUGGUGAGAUGAGCAAAAGACAUGUUGAACUGAGCAACAAAAGCAUCAGAAAAGAGAAUUUUUACACACACACAAGAAAAUUGAAGAAACUAAUGAAUUAUAUAUAUAUAUAUAUAUAUAUAUAUAUAUCUGCAGUGUACUGAAAGAAUGGAAAAUGGAACACAUAUGCAUUGCACAGUCAGGCUAGGAGUGAUUGAUCGGCUUGGAAAGAACAGCGGGCCCAUUUGGAUUUUAACGCACGUCAUCUAGAGAAUUUCAUGAUUUUUUUUUUUCAAGAAAAAUAUGACUGAUCAGGGCAAAAAUGGUUGACAUAUAUAUGGCCAUACGUUAUAGAAAAGAUUUAAGAGGAUAACUUUCAUUGUAUUGUAUUUUUGAAUUUUUAGCAUUUCAAGUUCUGAAUUUUGUUUAAAAGUUAGAUUAUAACGGAAAAUGUAAUAGUCAAAAAACCUUCAACAUCCCAAUAUCCUGAAAUGUUGUAAAAUUUCUGAUAAAAUAAAUUAUAGUAAAAUGUUCAGUUUGCUGUGUCUAAUUCUGCAACACUUAGUUGGUUUCGGAUGCCUAUAAGCAAUUAAUUUAUUGUUUUAUUAAUUAGAUUCAAUUAUUAUACGUUACAUCAUAUGUAAUAUUUGAAAUCAUAUUCUGGUUGAAUCUAAAAAUAAAAGUGAUUUUAUAGUCGUAAUAUAAAUGAUUAUUUGAGUCCACAGAGUACGUAUAUACCAGAUACACAUUUUUAUAUUCAAAAUGUUAUUAUUUAUCUAUUUAUGAUGAUGUCUGCUAGUUCACAAAGCAAACAAAAAUGAGAAAGCUAGGUAUCAAGUCCUAAGAAGGCCCUGGGUUUAAAGUUGAGGAUGGAGAUGGUGAAUUGGUGACGGUAGACCCAUCCUUGACCUACAAUGGCAUGUUCUCUAAUAGAAAUGCAUCGAUAUAUGUGUUCUGGACACCUAACCCUAUUGUUUAUCUUGUUUCUGGUCUGAAUUAAGCCUAUUUCUUUUCAACCUAUACCAGCUAGGCUAUAUAACAUUGCACUUUAUCUUCCCUAAUUCAAGUCUUCAGCUUCGCUAAUGAAAUUCCACAAAUUUUGCUGCACAAAAACUUGAGACGAUAAAUCCGGCCCGUAAAGUGAGCCAUGGUCUGAAGUUUAAAUUCUCAAAUAUAUAGCGCAAGACAGACCAACCCAGAAAAUACUUUCAGAAGUUCAGAUCUGAGAUUAUUUCAUCCCAAGGGUUCAUUUUGCUCGAACAACAUCAUCAAACCAUUUAUCUUUUGGUUUCGGUGCACCAAAGAGCGUAAGAACACUUCAGAGUUCAGAAGAAAUAUAUCAGAAGAGCAAUAAUACCUAUUCAUCGAGUUAUCUGCACUUUUUUUUUUCAGGUUAAAACUCCUGUCCGAGUUAAUUGAAUCCUUCUUUUACUGUUCUAAUUUAUAGAUAGUCCUGGUUAGCUUUCUGAAAAAAGUAGCCCAACCUGGAAACACCAGCUCUUCAUUCAAAACAACUAUUCACCAAAACAAAACAUGAUAAGGAUAGAUCAAACUCACAGAUCCAGAUCUUUGCAGUAAGCUGGUGAUGAUAGGAGACACAGAAAUUGAAUGUGUACCCUGACUAAUUAAAUCUGUUGAUUGUAAUUACCAUUGCUCUGCUUCCGGAGCUCUAUAAUCAUCAUCAUCAUCUCCUUUUCUCUUCUUUUUAAAUAAAAAAAAAAAAGAAAAGAAAAAGAAGAAGCUAAUCAAACCUGAAGAUUCAUCAUCUUUGCAAUGUAAAACUACUGAAUCUAAGAAAAAAGAAGAUUAAUUACAAGAAAACUAAUAUCAAGCAGAGAAACGCAGUCAUAAACUAUUUCUCUUGAUUCUUUAGCACCAAUGAUCUUACCUUCUGGGCUUUCUGCUAAUGUUGAUGCAGAGCAAGAUCGAAGAGAACAAAGUCUUAAAAAAUUCAGAUCCUAUUAAAGGAAAUCUAAGAUCUAAAACCUAUGAAGAAGUACAUUAUGAUUGUAUUUAAUUACUUUUCCAACAUCUACAGAGAGAUCCAAUUAAGGGGAAGAACAAGUUCAUCCAAUUAACCCAGUAAUUGAGAAACCCUAUCAAUCAAGCUGAGAAACCCUAAGAGGUAAAUCUGCAAAAACAAAGAAACCCUAGUGGUGACGAUGGCAAUUGAUCGAUCACAGCUUUGUUUUUGAGUGGUUGGACAAAUCGUAGAAGUGGGAGGCAGUGAGGCACCCAGCCGAUAGGGUUUUCUGAAGAGGGGCACUACUGAACUUAGAAAUGACCACUGCUUUUGGGGCGGUCGAAUCUAGCUAUUAUAACCCAUUAAUAAUUUAGUGCAAGAAAUAAUUGCUACUGCUCUCUGCCUUUUCUUCUCUGUCUUUAUCUGAAACAGCAUGAGCCAGUCCUUACACUUGGAAUCUGUCAACAAAUACCUAAUUUCAUUCACCCAAAUUUUUGGUUGAGGAAGGUAGAAAAUCAUGAAACAAGUAUAGGAUAAAGCAGCCUGAGAAGUACAAUAUGAAAUUGGACAGACUUUUUCAUAUUGGGGUCUUGUACACUAUAAUGUCGAAAGUGAACAUUAUGAUGAACAAAUUCGAUCACUUAGAAGAAAGAAAGAAGUUAAAGUUUGAUUGGAGAACUAGAAUAGCUAGAAUAGCUAGGGCGUGGGGAGAUAAGUUUCAGAGAAAGUGACCAAUCUUAUUUGAGAUGCUUUGAAAUAAGGUGGCAAGAAGUACAGGCGUGCCAAAUAGCUACGGGAUAUUAGGAAAAGAGGGCGAAGGAGAGCAAGCUAGAAAUCCAACCAUCUUAGUUGUCAAGCUGCGGAAAUCUGUACGUAUAUAUCUGCUUUGGAUGUCAUCACUCUGUCAGCUAGUACAUAGUACACAGUUGGGUAAAACCUAAUACCCAGGCCGGCAUAUCAACAAUUGAAAUUAAACUGACAAAAUUUACACUAAACACUGAAAGCAGACCCUAACUAAUAAGUAUAAAUGUAUAAUAUACACUGAAAACAGAUUAGUUCUAUAUCAAUCUCACACUGCAAUUUAGUUUGCCAAUAUAAGUUACUUCCUCAAAUGUAACCACAUCAUAUAUUCAAUGUGGAUGAACCGAGCUUAGCUUGAAAUCUCUAACUUGGUAUCAGAUGAAACUAUCUUUCUAUAAAUUUUAUAGGGUUUCCUUAAUAAGUUUUGCAAAUUAGUGUGGCAAUGUUCUGUUUGUUGGCUCUAUCUGAAUCUCAUUUCCCCUCAUUUCUCAAAAGCAGAAAAGCUAUUGAUAGUUUGAAAAUUGAUGGUAGUGUUACACAUAUUUAGCUUAAAUCAACAAACUAAGUCACAGUCUUGAUAAUAUAUAUGUACUUGUAAAUAAGUUAAUGUCUCUCCAUAUCAAGCUUUCAAUAUAUGGUAUAUAUUCGCAAUUCUACUGAAAAACUAUCAGCCUCCAUCGAUCUCAAGAAGAAUGUGCUGAAGGAUAACCACCUUCAAGUGCCUAAUUAAGGAAACCCGAAACAAGAAGGUUACGUACCUAGAAGUUUAUCAGAAGCUUAUGCUAACAUAUCUCAUAAAUGAGUAGAUACACCUAAGUUAGCCGAUUCUAAAUGAGAAGUUAAGUUAAGCUGGCCAAGCCUAAAAUUCUUGUUACCAUGUCUUACCCGAAGUUGAUUUUGAUCCUGCAAUUAUAUUAUUGCUGGAGUGCUGGAUCAAUCAUCAAUUAUAUACCUAGGUACACUAGUACUGGCUCUGAGGCCAAUUGGUAAAACCCGAACAUGCAGGUGGUGUUUCUACAGCAUCAUAAUGAUAAUCUAUGAAAUUCUGUCUGCUUAUGCACUAAGAAUACGCCAACAGAUCACACAAUUGGAGAAUGUCGAUCACCGCCAUAACCACGACUAGGAGAUGAUCGAAUCUCUAAGAAUCAGGAAUCAACUCAUUGCAAGUAAAUAAUCAAAUGAACAUGCAUAGAAGUAAAUGAAACAAUUGGAAAGGUAGGUGAGUACCUUAAAGGCUCUCAAAGUAGCUCGGAGUAAUUUUCAUGAACCACAUCAACCAAUUAUGGACAUCAACUGUGAAAAUCAUGACUUAAUCAGUAACAUUAUCAGUAAUUGUAGACUUGAAGCAAUCAUUUCUUAAAAUCAAUGCAAAAAGCAUAUCCUCUGUCUAAACUUGAUACACAUGUGUAGAACACGCUGUUCAACUUCAAUUGCAAGGCAUGGCUAUGACCAUUAUAUUCUAAUUGAAAUGUCAUUUCCUGCUCACAUACUAAUUAAACUUUUAUAUACAACUUCAUAAGUGAAAAUUUCAUUUUGGAACAUUAGUGGAAUUUUCUUUGUUCUGGGUCUGAAAAAUAUAUAUACAAGUACGAGCAUAUGCGUAGAACGAGACUGCAAACUAGAACUUGAAGUUAAAACAUGAAUCGGUGCUUGAAAUCUUAAACCUUACAGAAUUUGUCUAGCUUUGGUUCUAGCUUAUGCGUAGAGAUAGGAGUCAUAAGACGCAGCUCUGGAUCUGAUUCAGAAGAUUAAUGCGUGUUUAAGUCGGAUUAUUACAUUAAUCACACGGUAAUUAAUAUGUAAAUAUAUGUAUCACCUACGUACGCACGUACCCUCUGGACUCUUCCAUCAGUGAACGACGUCGUCUGAAAUCAUUGAUUCUUUUCCGAUGGAAGUGAGCUGCAUGAUGCACAAUACUGUCCACGCCUCAACCCCGGCGGUGUAGUUCGUCAGCUUCCCUGAACUUAAGAAGCCUGCGUGCGCUCCAUCUCUUCCAUAUUAGUUUUUCCAAGGUUUUGUAAUUAAUCUUGUUCCUUUCUAGGUUUUCUGCUUGUUCUACUGGUGUAGCUUCUGUUCGUUGGGCUUGCCUUGUUCUGUUUGUUACUCUUUCUGGGCUUUCUUUUUGUUACUCAAGCCCAGAAAUUCAAAUAGUACUAUUUUAGGUUUCCAUCUUGAAAAAGUUACUACAGUGCAGCAGCUUUAUGAAUUUAUUUACUGUGAACUAGUUAUUGCAUCACGGCAUACGCACAAGUUAAGAAUAACCAUUGAACUAGAUACGAAACAAAAUCAUAUUGUAAUUUUCUUAGAGAAGAAUUUCGUUGCAACUUAGUUUUGAGUCUAUUAUCAUGACACUAUCUUUCACAAACUGAAAAACUUAUCGCGUCUGUUAGAUGCUUAGAGACCUAUAAUUAAAACGGUGACCCUUCCACCACAUAUCAUGACUUCAUUCUUGAUUUUUGGUUCAGAGUUGCUCGAUAGUCCAUAGAAUACCAAAAGUGCUAAAAGCUCUAGAGGUUAUGAAGUGCAUGAGGGCAAAUAAUCAGCAGCAGCAGCGAGUUAUAAGUUAUUACAACACAAUCAUCACACCAAAUCCAAAAACAUAUAUAGAAAGGUUUACUUGACCUCUACCUCGCAUGAUCAUGAAGCUUCGGAUCGGAGUUCAAACGACAACCUUCUUGAUCGAUCGAGUUGAGCUUUAACUUGCAAGUAAUGGUUGCUGCUGCCGCCUAACUGAAGAGCUAGCUUGAUUUUGUUAACCUCUAAGAAAGGAAAAUAUGCCAACUUCAAAGCAAACGGAUUGAGAAAGUAAAAGAGCACGAGAGACCUUGAUCUAUAUAUAUAUAUAUAUAUAUAUAUAGUCUGGCAAGUCCGCUGUUUUGAAGGUCAAAAACCAUGUCUUUCCUUUUAUCCCUUUUUCUUAUUUGGCCCAAUAAUUAAACGUGUUUUUUC